rnacentral:lncRNA from 1 species
CUAACUCUGAUACACACCAAGUUUCCUUAUAUGUGUCGCUGAUGAAUUUUCUUUGUAAAGUAUAAAACUGCGACAUUAACAUAUUGAGCUGCUUUAUUAUAGGGAGUUCUUAAAAGGUCUGUGUGGGCCAAGAGUGAGAAAUUGAAACACUUCCAUACAAUCCUCUGGAUCUGUCUUUUGAUAUUCACCCUCUGGUUUCAAGAUAUCUGUCAAGUUAAUAGAAGACGGCAUUGUAAGAUGAUGAGAACCAAUUUCAAGGCCUCAUUCCCUUCUACACACGUUGCAACCCCAACCCCUGAUACCCUGAUCACAGCCACCAACAGAAGGAAGAGGAAAAAAGGAGUUAUCUGGUCACACGGGUAGAAGUGAAUUAAGAAGUCGAUAGGCAUUACUAUGUAUAAGUGAGAACUAAUUGAAUCAAGAAAUUGAUGACACCUGAUAUAAUGGCUGAAGGUAAAACAAAGCCAUCCAUUCUAGUUGCUGCAUCCUGAAGAUUCCAAGCUCCAGGUGAGGGCAUCCAAGCUCUUCCAUGACUCAUUAAGCAUACUCGACUUGUUCAUAUGGGAAGUUCAUCCAUGCAUGCAGAAGAAAAAACAACUAACAGCAGGGUUUUCAGUACUCAGCAGGGUAAAAAGUUGUUAUAUUUGUGCUGCCAAAGCUUUUCUGGUUGUUGUUUACUCAGUUUGGAAUUUUUAGUUACCCUUGUACAUGAAAAAAAGAAACUAAAAAGCCCUGUGGAUUUCAAGCUAUGGUGGAGUGUUCCACAGGGAAGUCUCAAGUACAUGCUUGAUUGAUUGUCAUUGUCUUUAGUACUAUUUGUUUUUCUUUAAAAUUUUAAUUAUUAUGAAUAUAUAAUAAUUAUACACACUUAUGGAGUACAGGUGAUAUUCAUACAAUGAUCUCAUGAAAGAUACCUCCUCACGCCUUAGGAGAGCCAAUACUGUCAAUACCAAUACCUCCUAAAGCUGUAUUUUUUCUUUAAUUUCUCUUAAGUUCUAAUAAGGCAAAUACUCGAAGUCUAGUUCAUAUCUGAAUGGAGAGCUGUGUAAAGAGCAUACAAAUCCUACAGAAUAAUGAUUUUCUAACUUACUGGCAUAUUGAAAUAAGUUGUGUCAGAGGCAUUUCAACCAGAGCAACUCCAUCUUGGGUAGGGGCUGAGUGAAAUAAGGCUGAGACCUGCUGGGCUGCAUUCCCAGUAGGUCACACAUUCUUCUCUUUUUCUUUUUUGAGAUGGAGUUUCACUCUUGUUACCUAGGCUGGAG